rnacentral:rRNA from 1 species
GACGUAGGGCGCGAGCGUUGUCCGGAUUUAUUGGGCGUAAAGAGCUCGUAGGCGGCUUGUCGCGUCGACUGUGAAAACCCGCGGCUCAACUGCGGGCCUGCAGCCGAUACGGGCAGGCUAGAGUUCGGUAGGGGAGACUGGAAUUCCUGGUGUAGCGGUGAAAUGCGCAGAUAUCAGGAGGAACACCUGAGGUGAAGACGGGUUGCUGGGCUGACACUGACGCUGAGGCGCGAAAGCUAGGGGAGCAAACGGG